ACUCAAAUGAAUAGACGGGGGCCCGCACAAGAGGCGGAGCAUGUGGCUUAAUUCGACGCAACGCGAAGAACCUUACCAAGGCUUGACAUCGCCGGGACAGCUCCAGAGAUGGGGUCUCCUUUUGGGCCCGGUGACAGGUGGUGCAUGGCUGUCGUCAGCUCGUGUCGUGAGAUGUUGGGUUAAGUCCCGCAACGAGCGCAACCCUUAUUCUGUGUUGCCAGCACGCCCUUCGGGGUGGUGGGGACUCACAGGAGACUGCCGGGGUCAACUCGGAGGAAGGUGGGGACGACGUCAAGUCAUCAUGCCCCUUAUGUCUUGGGCUGCACACGUGCUACAAUGGCCGGUACAAUGAGCUGCGAUGCCGCGAGGCGGAGCGAAUCUCAAAAAGCCGGUCUCAGUUCGGAUUGGGGUCUGCAACUCGACCCCAUGAAGUCGGAGUCUCUAGUAAUCGCAGAUCAGCAUUGCUGCGGUGAAUACGUUCCCGGGCCUUGUACACACCGCCCGU
rnacentral:rRNA from 1 species